GCACCUAUGUUGUUUGGUUGUA
rnacentral:siRNA from 1 species